AUUGCUUUGACUGCGAAACUAAUUUAAGAUUUAACCAAUCAGCUGCGAAUUGAACACAGGCUUUUUGGUCUUGGGUCGUGGGUCCUCAGUUCGCAAAUAAUUUGCGCAUCUAAUUGCUUGGUUUCACUACGCUUCACUUCAGAGUUCAGAGCUUCGGUCAUAUGUACGAGAGAGUGAGCGGGGAACAGAGAAAUAGAGUGACAAUGGUGAGGAUAUUAUCCAUGGCGUCGUCGAUUAAACCUUCGCUGUAGGUCUGCGGCUGCUGCAGGGCUUCCUUCUCGCUUCGCUGUACCCUUCGGUUCGUGUUUCCAGAAUUCUUGUCGCCCUCUCAGCUUAUUGCAUCUUGGCAGUGCUGAAGUGCUAGAGCAUAAGCUAAGGAAGUAUAUGAGCAGAUUCCAGUACCAAGAUUGGCUAAAAAUAACGACGCAUUACUGCUUUCUGCUACAUACAAAAACACAAUAUAAAGGCAAAACUGAAUUAGAUACCAUCAGUUUGCUGUUGAUUCAUAGAAGACAUGGAUGCAGCAGCUUUCCUUCCUCUCCUCUUUUGAUAAGCUUCUCUUUGUUUAGCUCU